AACGAACGCUGGCGGUAGGCCUAACACAUGCAAGUCGAGCGAGGACUCCGGUCCUAGUGGCGGUUGCGUGAGUCACGCGUGGGACCGUGCCCUUUGCCUCGGAAUAGUACUGGUAAACUGGGAGUAAUAUCGGAAGAGCCCCUCGGGGGACAGAUUGAUCGGCGAAGGAGAGGCCCGCGUUGGUUUAGGUGGUUGGGAGCGUAAUGGCCUAUCACGGCGACGAUACUUAGCUGGGUUGAGAGGAUCAGAAGCCACACUGAGACUCAGACGCGGCCCGGACUCCUGCGCGAGGCAGGAGUGGCGAAUCUUGGACAACGGGGGGAGCGCUGAUCUCGCCAUGCCGGGUGAGCGAUGAAGGCCGUAGAGAAGUAAAGCUCUUUCAGCUGGGAAGGUUAUGACGGUACCAACAGAAGAAGCCCCGGCUAACUCCGUG
rnacentral:rRNA from 1 species